CGAUGUUCUUCUUCCUCCUCAAUCCACACCAGAAGUACAAUACAACCGCCACCCACUGUGAAUACAAUGACACUUUGUUGAUUACAUAUUUGGCUGUGCUGACCAACUGCUCAAGUACAACGAAUGAGCUAGUCGACAAGUUCAACACUGCAUAUGAUAGGCACAGUCGAAGAGGUGGACGGACUGCUUAUUUCUGAAAGUUUCUUUGACAACUUUUUGGUGCUGCUGGUUUCGUUUGACUGCAUAGAGGCGUAGAAAUUGAAAUCUUAAUGAGACCUAGACCAUUCGGAAUGAAAUAUAAAUUUCAGUCUCCCCAAGUGUCAAUGCCCAUUAUUGUUCCGUUUAAGGUUGUAGUUUUUAAAAGGUAAUAUAUGAGCCGUUUGAUAAUCA